rnacentral:rRNA from 1 species
GAUGAACGCUGGCGGCGUGCCUCAAACAUGCAAGUCGAGCGGGGCUAUGUAAUAUCGCAAGGUAGAACAUAGCCUAGCGGCGAACGGGUGAGUAACACGUGGGUAACCUGCCUGGAAGACAGGGAUAACGAUUCGAAAGGGUCGCUAAUACCUGAUAAUAUCCUUUCAUCGCAUGGUGAUAGGAAGAAAGGGGAAACCCCGCUUUCAGAUGGGCCCGCGUCCCAUCAGCUAGUUGGUAAGGUAAAGGCUUACCAAGGCGACGACGGGUAGCCGGUCUGAGAGGAUGUACGGCCACACUGGGACUGAGAUACGGCCCAGACUCCUACGGGAGGCAGCAGUUGGGAAUCUUAGGCAAUGGACGAAAGUCUGACCUAGCGACGCCGCGUGAGGGAAGAAGGCCUUGGGUUGUAAACCUCUGUCAUGGGGAAGAAGUAAGUGACGGUACCCCAAGAGGAAGCCCCUGCUAACUACGUG